rnacentral:tRNA from 1 species
GCCGGAGUAGCUCAGCCUGAUAGAGCAGACGGCUCAUACCCGUUAGGUCAGAGGUUUAAAUCCUCUCUCCGGCACCA